AAUCCAUAGGUUAAUGAGGCGAACCGGGGGAACUGAAACAUCUAAGUACCCCGAGGAAAAGAAAUCAACCGAGAUUCCCCCAGUAGCGGCGAGCGAACGGGGAGGAGCCCAGAGCCUGAAUCAGCAUGUGUGUUAGUGGAAGCGUCUGGAAAGGCGCGCGAUACAGGGUGACAGCCCCGUACACAAAAGCGCAUGUGCUGUGAGCUCGAUGAGUAGGGCGGGACACGUGGUAUCCUGUCUGAAUAUGGGGGGACCAUCCUCCAAGGCUAAAUACUCCUGACUGACCGAUAGUGAACCAGUACCGUGAGGGAAAGGCGAAAAGAACCCCGGCGAGGGGAGUGAAAAAGAACCUGAAACCGUGUACGUACAAGCAGUGGGAGCACCCUUUGGGGUGUGACUGCGUACCUUUUGUAUAAUGGGUCAGCGACUUAUAUUCUGUAGCAAGGUUAACCGUAUAGGGGAGCCGGAGGGAAACCGAGUCUUAAUUGGGCGUUAAGUUGCAGGGUAUAGACCCGAAACCCGGUGAUCUAGCCAUGGGCAGGUUGAAGGUUGGGUAACACUAACUGGAGGACCGAACCGACUAAUGUUGAAAAAUUAGCGGAUGACCUGUGGCUGGGGGUGAAAGGCCAAUCAAACCGGGAGAUAGCUGGUUCUCCCCGAAAGCUAUUUAGGUAGCGCCUCGUGAAUUCAUCUCCGGGGGUAGAGCACUGUUUCGGCUAGGGGGCCAUCCCGGCUUACCAACCCGAUGCAAACUGCGAAUACCGGAGAAUGUUAUCACGGGAGACACACGGCGGGUGCUAACGUCCGUCGUGAAGAGGGAAACAACCCAGACCGCCAGCUAAGGUCCCAAAGUCAUGGUUAAGUGGGAAACGAUGUGGGAAGGCCCAGACAGCCAGGAUGUUGGCUUAGAAGCAGCCAUCAUUUAAAGAAAGCGUAAUAGCUCACUGGUCGAGUCGGCCUGCGCGGAAGAUGUAACGGGGCUAAACCAUGCACCGAAGCUGCGGCAGCGACGUUUAUGCGUUGUUGGGUAGGGGAGCGUUC
rnacentral:rRNA from 1 species